GGGGGGUUAGCUCAGCUGGUUAGAGCGCCGGUAUCACACGCCGGAGGUCAUGGGUUCGAGUCCCUUACCCCCCACCA
rnacentral:tRNA from 1 species